rnacentral:rRNA from 1 species
UACGUAGGGCGCAAGCGUUGUCCGGAAUUAUUGGGCGUAAAGAGCUCGUAGGUGGCUUGUCGCGUCUGCCGUGAAAGCCCAUGGCUUAACUGUGGGUCUGCGGUGGAUACGGGCAGACUGGAGUACUGCAGGGGAGACUGGAAUUCCUGGUGUAGCGGUGGAAUGCGCAGAUAUCAGGAGGAACACCGGUGGCGAAGGCGGGUCUCUGGGCAGUAACUGACGCUGAGGAGCGAAAGCGUGGGGAGCGAACAGG